rnacentral:rRNA from 1 species
AUUGAACGCUGGCGGCAGGCCUAACACAUGCAAGUCGAGCGAGCGGCGGACGGGUGAGGAAUGUAUGGGGGCUGCCCGAUAGAGGGGGAGAACUACUGGAAACGGUAACUAAUAACGCAUACUAUCGGAUAACCCAUAUGGGAUUAGCUAGUAGGUGGGGUAAUGGCUCACCUAGGCGACGAUCCCUAGCUGGUCUGAGAGGAUGAUCAGCCACACUGGAACUGAGACACGGUCCAGACUCCUACGGAGGCAGCAGUGGGGAAUAUUGCACAAUGGGCGAAAGCCUGAUGCAGCCAUGCCGCGUGUAUGAAGAAGGUCCUAGGGUUGUAAAGCACUUUAAGUCGGGAGGCGUUACCGACAGAAGAAGCACCGGCUAACUCCGUGCCAGCAGCCGCGGUAAUUC